UAUACAAGAGUAUCAUGUCAUAGUGAAUGCGAUUGAUUCCAAAAUCCUCAUCAGAAAAAACCCUAGUGCCACCCCUGCACUGCACUUGAGAAAUCACCGAUGGGGAAGAAGCGAAAGGUAGCACCCAAAUCUUCUCAAUCCGCUGAACCUCCGCUCAAGCAACACCAACCUGAACCCCAAAUUGCGCCACCCGAGUAUGAGGAAGUCGAAGAGGAAGAAGAGGAGGAAGAAGAAGUAGAGGAAGUAGAAGAAGAGGAGGAGGAGGAGGAAGAAGAAGAAGAAGAGGACGAUGAAGAGCAAGAACAGCAGCAAGAUGAGGAUGACGACCCGAUCGAAAAGCUUCUGGAACCUUUAAGCAAGGACCAGAUCUUAAACCUUCUAUGCGAGGCGGCGGCAAAUCACCGCGACGUGGCGGACCGGAUCCGCAAGGCGGCUGACGAGGAUCCCGUGCACAGGAAGAUCUUUGUCCACGGGUUGGGGUGGGACACCACCGCGGGAACCCUAAUCAGUGCGUUCCGGCAGUACGGAGAGAUCGAGGACUGCAAGGCCGUCACGGACAAGGUUUCUGGUAAGUCCAAAGGUUACGGCUUCAUCCUCUUCAAGACGCGGCGCGGCGCGUGCAACGCGCUAAAGCAGCCGCAGAAGAAGAUCGGCAAUCGCAUGACGGCGUGCCAGCUGGCGUCCAUCGGCCCCGUCAGUAGCAACCAGAGCCAGCCGCAGGCAAUGCCUUCCUCAGCGCCGACGCUGUCAUCGUCGGCUUCGGAGUACACGCAGAGGAAGAUCUACGUGAGCAACGUCGGUGCGGAACUCGAUCCGCAGAAGCUUCUGGCGUUCUUUUCACGGUUCGGGGAAAUUGAGGAGGGGCCUUUGGGGCUGGAUAAGCUAACAGGAAAACCGAAAGGGUUUUGUUUGUUUGUUUACAGGAGUCCGGAGAGUGCGAAGAGAGCCUUGGAAGAGCCUCAUAAGGACUUUGAGGGGCAUAUUUUGCAUUGCCAGAAGGCGAUUGAUGGGCCCAAGCCUGGGAAGUUGCAGCAGCAGCAACACGGGAACGUGAAUGCUCAGGUCCAGCGGACUCAGUUUCAGAGGAAUGAUACUGCCAAUGCAGGUGGCGCGUAUGUUGGUAGUGCUGCAGCAGCGCAGCCGGGACACUUGAUGGCCCCCGCUGGGCCAGGGAUUGGGUUUAACCAAGCGGCGUUGAAUCCGGCUUUGGGGCAGGCGUUGACGGCCCUCCUGGCAUCGCAAGGGACGUUGGGGCUGAAUUUGUUGGGGAGUAUUGGAACGAGUGCUGCGGUGAACCCUGGUGUGCCUGCUGCAGGGGCUGGAGUACAGAGUGGCUACAGUGCUCAGUCAAAUAUUAGUCCGGGUGUUAUUGGUGGAUAUGGGACCCAGGUGGGGUUGCAGGCUGCAUAUCCGAAUACGAAUCAGCAGAUAGGGCAGGGUGGUUCUGGAAGAGGGCAAUAUGGUGGUGGUGGUGCGCCUUACAUGGGGCAUUAGGUUUGAUGGCCAUGCUUUAAAUAUUCACCAAUGUAAUUUGAUUAGGUUAAAAAUAACAAAAUAAACAUGUUUGGUUCUCAUUUAACUUGAAAAUGCCAAUCUUGCUUUAUCAUUUCCAAGCUUGUUUAAAAUUGUCCUUUGAAGUUGUCAAUGCUGUGGAUUUUUUGUUGAUCACUUUGGGGUUUCUCUUCUCCCGGUGAUAUGUCUGGGAAAUUGUUUUAUUUUAUUUCUCAACCAGAUAUGAAAUGGUUUUUUCCAAUCACUCUAUCAGAAAUGUUAACUGGUUUUAUGAGGCUGACGAUUAUAAUUACUUUCAUGUUUGUUAAUUUAUAUAAUGGUUUUCAAAUGUUUUGCUAAUAUCGGCUUUAUACACUCUUCGAUUCUAGAAAUCCUUUUAAACUUGAUGUAGUGUCUUUAUAUUGGGAAAACCAAAAUUUCCUAAAGUUGUGUUUUAUGAUAGUUAGUCAGCUUUGUUAUAUUGAUGGAUUGAUGUCCUACUUACCGUCAAUUGAAUAGGUGGCUUUCAUGGACUGAAAGGAAUUUACAGAGGGCUGUUGUUCAGUUUCUCAAUCUUUGCUGCUUUUGCCUGAGUGUCUUUGUAUUGGAGAAGAUCUGUCGGAGAAAAAUAAAUUCUCAGUGAUCCUAUAACUGUUCUUGUUUGGACGCUGCUAUCAAUAUAUUGAAUAGAACUAGGGACAUGUUUGGAUGAACUUUCUUACGGAUUCUUCUAUGAAUCAAAAAUAGGGAAAACAUGGAACUAAUUUCUUGAGGUAAUAUACUUUUAUGGGUAGGUUAAUCUUAUUUUAUUUUUCUUUUAUC